rnacentral:rRNA from 1 species
GAGACCCCAGGUCAGGCGGGACUCCCG